GAGUUUAUUUUACAUGCUCGAGUAAUUUCAAACAUAAAAUUUAGCAUCGGCAACUCUUGUCAGUAAGCUGCUAAAUGCAAUAUUUGAUUCCAAACUUUUGUUUAACCGAUAAAUUAAGGGAAUUUCGCCAAUUCGGUCCCUAAACAUUUUCACUUAAAUCAAUUUUGUCCUUAAUGAAAUAUUUUAACCAAUUUAGUUCUUGAACUAGUUUUUUACUUCCAAUGUAGGACUUUUCACUGCAUUUUACUCAAUUCCCGUGGACCAGCAGGGUAUAAUUGUCACAUUGAUUUAAUCUUCUGCAAUUAGCUGACAAAACAGAUUAGAGAUCAUUACGAGGAAGAGAUCACUAGCUGACAAAAUAGAGAAGAGAGCCUGAUGUCAACUAGCGCCUGCACCCUUACUCUUUUCCGGUUCCUUGGUCUUGUGAGGAAGAGAUGGCACAAGCCGUCGGAGCAAAUGGGAUCAGUGGGUUCAAAAGAACAGUUUGAACAAGUAGGUGAAUUGAGCUAGUUGCAAAGAGGAGAAGUGCAGGGAAGUGGGUGGCAGCGGUACGUACAGGAAGAGGGGUUGCUGCAGGUGCAUUCCUCCUAAUUGAAAGAGGCAGUGAGGUCAACGAGUAGUUUUGUGGGCUGCUGGCAAGGGGUUCUCAAGUAAAGUGACAAAAAGUGAAGUCGAGUGGAAGGAUCCUGGAGAAUGAGAGCUAAAACAGCUGAAGAAGAAAGGUGAAUGCACAGAAAUGGAACAGAAAGGUCUGUACUCUAUACAUUGAUAAAUCCAGUACCUCAACUUUUGAGACUUGAGAGUGUACAAUAAAAACAUGCAUAAAAAGUCUUUGAAAGUAAACCAGCUACGCUAGGCGACAAAGUUUGUUGCGAGGCUCUUCCACCUCCUCCUUUAAAACGCAGGCCCCGUUUGAAAACUCAUUUUUCUACAAAAAAAAUUUCAGAAACGAGCAAUUAGAACGGCAGCUCAGCAUCUCUAAUUUGAUCUGAAACCUGAAGAAUAAUGGGAAGAGCCCCUUGCUGUGAGAAAGUGGGCAUAAAGAGAGGGAGGUGGACUGCUGAAGAGAUGAAAUCUUGACCAAGUACAUUCAAGCCAACGGAGAAGGUUCCUGGAGGUCACUACCAAAGAACGCAGGACUACUUAGAUGUGGGAAAAGUUGCAGAUUGAGAUGGAUCAACUACUUGAGGUCUGACUUGAAGCCACACCCUUGGAUCAACUAAUUUAUUUGUAAUCUGUAUAAUCUCAAUAUAGUAGUUUAUAUGCAAGAGAGCAUGAAAAGAAAUUAUACUGAUUACCUGAUGUGGCUCGUUUGUGUUUAGAUUUGGACUUCUUGUCUUUAACAUCUCCAACUAGCAAAUUAGCAAUUGGAUUGCCCAUUCCUGGAUGAUAUAUGAAGCUGCCUUGAGGUCCUUGGCCGUUGUAGUCUUUGUAUAUUCAUUGUUGCUUUGAAUUGGCUGGGAGUGGGGUCUGG